AAUAGAUACCCGGGUAGUCCACGCCGUAAACGUUGGAUACUAGGUGUGGCGGUUAUACCAAUGACUGCCGUGCCGAAGCUAACGCAUUAAGUAUCCCGCCUGGGGAGUACGGCCGCAAGGCUAAAACUCAAAGGAAUUGACGGGUCCCCGCACAAGCGGCGGAGCAUGCGGCUUAAUUCGAUGCAACCCGAAGAACCUUACCUGGGUUUGACAUCACGGGAAAAGCUGUAGAAAUACAGUGUCCAUUAGGGCCCGUGACAGGUGGUGCAUGGCUGUCGUCAGCUCGUGUCGUGAGAUGUUGGGUUAAGUCCCGCAACGAGCGCAACCCUUGUCCUAUGUUGCCAGCGGUUCGGCCGGGGACUCAUAGGAGACUGCCGGGGAUAACUCGGAGGAAGGUGAGGACGACGUCAAGUCAUCAUGCCCCUUAUAUCCAGGGCUGCACGCAUGCUACAAUGGCCGGUACAACGGGCAGCGACCCCGCGAGGUGAGCGAAUCCUAAAAAGCCGGUCCUAGUUCGGAUUGAAGUCUGCAACUCGA
rnacentral:rRNA from 1 species